UAUCUUCCUUCUUCUUCUCCCAAGACCAAGACUUCCCACAUCAAACUCAGACCAAAUCACCAAAUCUAGCAGAAGAAGUGGAGAGCUCAUUCAACUGGAUUUUUAUCGAAACCCUUUUUACCUGCAUCUGCAUCUAAAGAGGAAUUACAAAAUCAAACCAUACUCUGGAUUUCGAGCAAUCCAUCUAAGUUGCUGCUGGAUUUACCUUGGAACAAGCUUUAUCAGCUGAAAAAGCCUAUUCAAAAAGAAGAAAAAGACAUUUAUUGGGCGUUUAACCACUGUAGCAUCUCCAUAUGGUCAGGAAUGCAGGAAGAGCGGUAGUGAGUGAGAGGAUGAGAAGAAGACUGAGACAUCGGUGAAGGAGAAGUUUGAGGAUUUGCGCAUCAGCUCGUAGAUGCUACUCCCUUUCCUAUUGGCUAAUUUUCUAACCAGGUGAAUCUAGCGUAGUUGAGGACGAAGUUGGAAAAGGAUAAUAUCACGUUUGGCUCGAGUGAAUCGUUUGCAAGAAGAGAAUUCUCCUAAUGUUUCAGAUGAAAUAUAUUCACUAGCAGUUGGUCCUGAUCCACGUGUAGUGCGAUAUAGUGGGUGUAUCACUAAUGCAAUUCGAUUUCAUACAAGGGAACAGGAAGUUAAUUUGAGAACACAAAAUAGUGGUGUUAUAGUAAAGGGGGAGCACCAGUCUAAUUUUGUUGAUUUUUAUGGUGUGUUAACAGAUGUCUUAGAGCCAAGUUACCUGUAUAGAAAGAAAGUUUAUCUUUUCAGAUGUGAUUGGUGGGACACCGAUAAGAGAAAGAAAAAUAUUGUUGCAGAUAGCCAUUUCACUAGUCUUAACUUCUCUCAGACAUGGUACAAAGACGAUCCUUUUGUGCUUGCUGACCAAGUGCAACAAGUUUUUUACCUUAAAGACCUUAAACUGCGUGGAAAAUGGCAUGUUGUUCAACAUGUAAUUCCUCGAAAUGUCUAUGAUGUCUCAGAGAAAGAGGUUGGACCAGAACCAAAUAAUGACGAGGCAUAUCAGCAAGAUGAACACUUCAUAACAGAAAACACAUCGUCCAAGAUAAUUCUGAAAGUGCAUCAAGUUGCAACGAGAAAGUUACUAAUUCAAGGUUGAAUAAGAAUGAUGUCGCGGCUGAAGAAGUUGAUAUAGAUAUUGUUAUUGCUGAUCUUGAAGGUGUUGAUGAUUAUAUUGAAGAAGAAGAACUUGAAGGAGAAGGCGGUCUUUUGAGUGAAUACGACAGUGAAGAUGAAGGUAUUAUAUUAGGUGGCGAUAGUGAUAUUGAUUAAAGAAUAUUAUUUAGCAACUACAUUUAUUUUUUUUGCUGUAGACCUUUUUUUUCCUUUCAUUUUGCAAAAGAUCUUGAUUUUUUGUUGUUGGAUACGUUUACCUGUCAUUUUAAUGGAAGUUGUCAUUUUGAACUAUAA